GCUGGGCGUGGUGGCGCACACCUAUAAUCUCAGCAGCUUGGGAGGCUGAGGCAGGAGGAUUGCAGGUUCAAAGCCAACCUCAGCAACUUAGUGAAUCUUUU
rnacentral:sRNA from 1 species